AUGAGGUCCAGAAUCCUUCUGCUCAUUCUCCCGCUGUGUCUACUCGAGUAUGGAUCUGGUGAGUGGCGAAAGUUUCCUCCUGUUGUUGUGAGUCUGUCUGGCCGGGACCUGGAGAGCUGUGAAAUCCUUUCCUCUUCUCUCUGGCUUUGUAGCUGUGCACAAGCUCCGUUAAAUUCCCAGAUGUGGUCAGUGGAUUUUAAUCUGAUAUGUGUGAAACAUCACAUGCUCAAUACUGUGGUGGAAGUAAAUGUAAGAGUCGAUCAUAUGAAUGUGUGCCACUCUUUGCUUGCUUACUACCAAGAAAAUAAUGAAAAACAGCUGUUUUAUAUGAAAUAAAUUGGGUUCUGGCAUACUGAACCGAAAGAACUGGUAAAAAAAAGUAUUGCUCAUGUGCACAUGCUGUAAAAUGAAAGCUGUCACAGACUGCAUUCAUUUCUUUUGAUUAUUUGACUAACAGUAAGAGAGCCUGGAUAGUUUUAUUAGAUCCUGUUCUUUCCAGUGGCCUUCAAUGCUCAAACCGAGUUCGGAAAGGCUUUCUUGAUAUCUUGAGCUCAGAAUUUUUACCUGCAGGAUAAAGCAGAGACUUCUUUAUUACCCUUUUCAAUUUUAGGUUAUGGCAACUCGUGUAGCACUUUCUUAUCUGGUUGUUCUUUCCCUGGAAAAUGAACAAGUAUAAUUCCAAAUACAGGCCAAAAUAAAUAGACUGCUAUAACAAACUACAAUCUCUUAGCUUUCCUGCGGUACUUCAUUAAACUCUGUGCCCCUCUGAAGACAGGUUCACUUAUCUUCAUUUCUUUUUAUUUCAACAUUUUGUGACCUCUAACCAGGUGCAGCAGCAUAAAUCUUUAUGUAUAUUGCAGACAGUAACAACAACCAAAACAUGUUGGACCUUUUGUCCUUUUUAAAGCUUCAAUAUUUUUAUAUUAAGAAUGGAUCACAUGGCUUAGUGUACAGCCCGUCCUCACUAUAAAAACGGCUGUAUAAGUCCUCAGCUUAAAUACUACAAGCAAAAGGCCCCAUCUAGAGCCAGUGUUUGGGUUGUCUGUGGUGACUCUGUAAAGGAGUACCUGCUCACGUUGUAGAUAUUAUUCUAAGGUAAUAAAAACACAAUGAUUCUUGUUUUCAGGUGAUUAUACAUACCUAUGAAUAUUAUGUUCCAUUUCUGCUAAUAGAUCCCCCUAAAUGUUACACACUGGACCUUUAAGACAAGUUUAGUACGUGAUUUACAUAAUGUAACAUAGCCUACUUAUCUUACCUAACCAAGUAACCUAACCAUGUUUUGGUGCCUACAUCUAACAAAACUGCAACCAUGUGUUUAGCUUAUGUCAUGUGACUUACGCACUAUACUACAGCUUUUACUGGUACUCUCUACCAGUCAUAUAUGUCAUUUUGGGAUUUACUGGCAAUCAAUCUCAUCUUUCAUUUAGGUAUGAGGAUGUGUUGUGACAGGGGACACUUGUAUGAACCUACAGUAAAUAAUCUGCUGUUCCUCUCAGCUCUACUGAGCAUUUUAGAGUCUUUUCGGCUCACUGUUUUGGUUCACUCUCUGUUCUCAUCAGGGCUGUUUUCAGCUGCAGAAUGUAGCAGUUAUAAGCGAAUAGGCAACUAGCUGAUGAAUAUAAUGAAGCAUUUAGCAGCUAAAGAGGCAGAUGUUUUCUUAGGAGUUGGUGGAGACCAAAAACAGCUAGAUGGAGAGUGAAUAGUGGACUUGCUUUCACCAGGUGUCCAGAAACAGGACUCCAAAUGAAUGCCUCUGUUGCUAUUUUAUGAAAUAAAAAUUGUUGUUUUGUAGUAGAGGGAGGGAAACUGACAUGUUUCUACAGUAGCCAAGAAUGGACAGAUCAAAAAUUGGCUCUAGAUAGGUCCUUUUGCAACUCAGCCACUGUAGUUUAUCCAGCAUGCUUGGAAGGUGAGGAGUAUUUAGUUGAUUGACAUUUGUAACUUCACCACUAGAUGCCAUUAAAUCCUACACACUGGACCUUUAAGGUUAAAGUAUUUAAGUUGGACAUCAGAGAACCAGGGAUGAUACAAUCACCAUAUAUGGUACACUAGGCCACUUUUUGUCCUUUAAAGCGAGACUUACUUUUCUUGACUGAGAGCUACUGUAUUGAUAUGUGACAACUAAGGGUUGAUGAUAACUGGUAAAAUAUAGUGUAACAGUACCACAAGUAGAGUAGAGUUAUAAAGUCAGCAAACUCGCUCUAAAGUUUGCUAACAUUAGCUAUCAUAAGGCACUGGUUAUACCACACCAUUAUAAGGCUGUAGCAGCAACAUGCUUUUGUUUAUCGUUUAAGGAAUAGAAUACUGAAACUGACUGAUUUGAUUAUGUUUAUGUUCUGUGUCAGUUCUGUACUGUUUGCUGUUUCUCGCGAUCCUCUCUCCAAACACAAGGUUCUCUUCAGUAGAAUCUUCUGUUAUUCAGUCUGUAAAGUUCUCUGUGCAUACAUAUCAUUUACCAGCUGAAUGAAUGUGAUCCUGCUUGGACCAGAAGUUUUACUGCUCUGUUAUUGAAAUACAGACUUAGCAGUGGAAGGGGAGGUGGUGCUCAAUUAGUAUUCAUAGCGGAUCUGUAGUGAUAGCAAUCUGAGAUUACGCUGCUCACUGGAAUUUAUAGCUUCAUGCACACAUGCACAAGCACCUGCUUUAUUCUUCCCUUAAAUUCAAAGGAAUGACGGUCUUUAAACACUCGACUGUGAUGAUGAAAGCAGGCAGAAAGUUAUUUAUCUGCGGCACAUAUGGGCUGUUUACACUAGCAAAUCGUUUAAAAGUUUAGAAAAUGAGUCUUUACUGUACAUGAGAGUCCUCUUGAGUCUGGUGUGCGUGGGGAUUUGGUAUUGCGUGCUGCUUCCUCUUUUGAGUUGUUUACAAAUGCUGUGGCAGGCAGAGGGAGG
rnacentral:lncRNA from 15 species